rnacentral:rRNA from 1 species
GACGAACGCUGGCGGCGUGCUUAACACAUGCAAGUCGAACGAAGAGCGAUGGAAGCUUGCUUCUACCAAUCUUAGUGGCGAACGGGUGAGUAACGCGUAAUCAACCUGCCCUUCAGAGGGGGACAACAGUUGGAAACGACUGCUAAUACCGCAUACGAUCCAAUCUCGGCAUCGAGGAUGGAUGAAAGGUGGCCUCUAUUUAUAAGCUAUCACUGAAGGAGGGGAUUGCGUCUGAUUAGCUAGUUGGAGGGGUAACGGCCCACCAAGGCAAUGAUCAGUAGCCGGUCUGAGAGGAUGAACGGCCACAUUGGGACUGAGACACGGCCCAGACUCCUACGGGAGGCAGCAGUGGGGAAUCUUCCGCAAUGGACGAAAGUCUGACGGAGCAACGCCGCGUGAGUGAUGACGGCCUUCGGGUUGUAAGGCAUCUGUUAAUCGGGACGAAAGGUCUUCUUGCGAAUAGUUAGAAGAAUGGACGGUACCGAAUAGAAAGCCACG